CCUACGGGUGGCUGCAGUGGGGAAUCUUGCGCAAUGGGCGAAAGCCUGACGCAGCCAUGCCGCGUGAAUGAUGAAGGUCUUAGGAUUGUAAAAUUCUUUCACCGGGGACGAUAAUGACGGUACCCGGAGAAGAAGCCCCGGCUAACUUCGUGCCAGCAGCCGCGGUAAUACGAAGGGGGCUAGCGUUGCUCGGAAUUACUGGGCGUAAAGGGCGCGUAGGCGGAUCGUUAAGUCAGAGGUGAAAUCCCGGAGCUCAACUUCGGAACUGCCUUUGAUACUGGCGAUCUUGAGUGUGAGAGAGGUAUGUGGAACUCCGAGUGUAGAGGUGAAAUUCGUAGAUAUUCGGAAGAACACCAGUGGCGAAGGCGACAUACUGGCUCAUUACUGACGCUGAGGCGCGAAAGCGUGGGGAGCAAACAGGAUUAGAUACCCUUGUAGUC
rnacentral:rRNA from 1 species